AGCGAACGCCGGCGGCAGGCCUAACACAUGCAAGUCGAACGAACCCUUCGGGGUUAGUGGCGGACGGGUGAGUAACACGUGGGAACGUGCCUUUAGGUUCGGAAUAACUCAGGGAAAUUUGUGCUAAUACCGAAUGUGCCCUUCGGGGGAAAGGUUUAUCGCCUUUAGAGCGGCCCGCGUCUGAUUAGCCAGUUGGUGAGGUAAUGGCUCACCAAGGCUACGAUUAGUAGCUGGUAUGAGAGGAGGGACAGCCACAUUGGGACUGAGACACGGCCCAAACUCCUACGGGAGGCAGCAGUGGGGAAUCUAGCGCAAUGGGCGAAAGCCUGACGCAGCCAUGCCGCGUGGAUGAUGAAGGUCUUAUGAUUGUAAAAUCCUUUCACCGGUGAAGAUAAUGACUGUAGCCGGAGAAGAAGCCCCGGCUAACUUCGUGCCAGCCGCCGCAGUAAAAC
rnacentral:rRNA from 1 species